rnacentral:lncRNA from 1 species
UACUUAAUAGGUUAGUCCAUAAAAAUAAUAUAAAAUGACAUAUAAAGCAUACAAAAGUGAUAAUAUAAUAGCAUGAAAUAAUCAAAAUUAUAGAUACAUUGGAGAUGUAUCAGCCAUGUGCACUACCAAAGUAGCUAAAAUGUAUAGAAGAAUGUGGCAUAGAAAGACAACCGAGAAAGGCCACACGCGCACUACUGUUCUUUGUCUUGAUGGCAACACAUUGAAACACUUUCCCACUAACAACCCUAGCCCACACACCCUAACCACUUACCAAGAAAGCCCACCAAGUGGAAAAUCCCUCCACACACCCAGCGAGAAUACCUGAUCAAAAUCGAGAUAUAUACAAUUCAAAAUAAGCAAUCUUAAUUGAUUAUGAUGCCUUAAAAUUAGGGAGCAUAGUGAUAUAGAAAAUGAGGCAAGAUGGGUGUGACAAAACCUAAGUUUCUAUUUCAUGAAAACUAGAUGAUGCACCGCGUGUUGUUGCGGGAAUCUUGCUAAAACAGAAGUGCAAAUAAUUGGUAGAAAAACAUCUAAAACUAAUGGAAAGAAAAUGCAGUCUGGAAAAUAAAUACGAAUCGUAUAACUUUUUUAUUAUAGUUAAAAGAACGUCAUCAUUAAAAAGAUGUGAAGGGUCAACUACAUAGAUAUGGUGCAAUUGCCCAAAAAAUAUAUUGUCAAUACAAAAUCUAAUGCAAAAACUAACUUGUGAAUAAUUAAUACUAGAAGGAAAAGGCAUGCUUUGCUGCGCCAUUUGGAUACCGGCUUUGAGUGCUCGUUAGUUUGGUGAUGAUACACUUCGUUUUUUAGCAGCUUAUAAUAAAAUAAAUAUCAAAAAUUAAAUUUGUUUAAGGACAUAUUGUGCAACAUGUGUGGUCGUUUGUGAUAAUGGGUAUUUCUUGUUUGACAAUGAGUGAGAGGUACACUUGAAAAUAGGCUGCCGUAGCAUGCUUGAGUAUAAACUACCAAUUAGGAAAUUGGUACAUAUACCGAGGAUUUUGUAGGGGUUUACAAUCUAAACCGUGAACCACCACGGGCAUUUCAGACAACAUAGUUAUCUCAAAUGAACAACAACCAACAAAAUCAUUGUUUGAUACCAACACUGGGUGUCAUUCCCUUCUUUGGUUAAUAUGAAAUCUGGUAACCUUUAGCAGUGGAUGUACAUUUUAUAAACACUUACCAAGAAGCCCCCCGGUUGCAAAAGACUCAUGUCACACUCCUUCAUUUUUCCAGCUAAACAUUUCUUCAAAUCAACAUUAAUGUGGAACUGGUAUUCUCAAAGUUUUACAAAACUGGAAAAUAGGACAUUUCAUUUUACUAUUUCAUCUAUUCGUCAGCAAUUAGAUCUAAAACUCAAGGUCCAGUAACAUCACAAAAUUAGUUGCACCACACUUUACAACAUUUCAUUUUAGUAUUUCAUCUAUUCGUCGGCAAUUAGAUCUAAAACUCAGGGUCAAGUAACAUCACAGAGUUAGUUGCACCACACUUUAUAUAUCUACCUCGGACUCAUCAUCUUCGCCCGCGAAAGCGAUGUAGACUACUUUGCCUCCUCUUCCCUUGUUGUCCUUCUCGGUGGAACUAUCUCAGCAAAACUGCUGGAGGGAGGAGCCUCGACAUCUUUUUGUCCCUGUUGAAGCACUCACCACUCUGCAAAAACGAGCCGCUUUUCUUUUUGAAAGGAGAGGCCCUGAUCCUCUGCGCCUUCUUCUCACUAGAAGGACACCGAGAUUGUUGUCAUUAGUAGGCUUGAAUAUUUCUUCCAUCAUUUCUGCCUUAUGCCUUUGCUUUGAGCUGGUGCCCUCUUUUUGAUGGCAGUCGUCUUCGGCUUUUCGGCAACAGGCUUUCUUCCUUUAGUUUUUUUCUUAACUUGCAUGGAAGACCCCCAUCCUCGCUCUCAUGAUGUGGCUCUGCUAUCUCUUCAUUGGAAAUCUUAGCUAAGGAUGACAUGCCCUUCUUUGUUGCGCCUUUUUUGUUUGGUCCGUUCCUCCCUUUCUUUCCUUUUCGUUGUUUUCCUAUUUCCCUGGCUGCACAAAUGGUUACGCCAUCAGCAUAAACUUGUAAGAGAUGGAUGUUUUGUGUUCACACACACAACAUAAUGCCAACAGCCAUUACCACUAUGUUCUGGAGAGGAAUCCCCAAGAUUAUAAGCAGCCAAGCAGUCUUUCGGAUCAGCCACUUCUUCCUCUUCAUCUUUCACCGGUGCACUUGCCUACGAAAUUGUUAAAUUGACCUGUCAAAGCAGCAAAUAAACUAUGACAUAGGAGAUAAGAAAAGGCUUGAUCAAGGACCAACCUUCUUCGGUGGCUUCUUCUUCUUUUGUCCUGCAGGUUCCUUAAUUUGUGGUACAAAAUUGUCACCGUCGCUGCCAGCCAUAUUUGCCUUGAAAAGUUUGAUUGUUUUAUCAGUAAAGAGCAACGACCUUUCAUAAUAAUUGUUUGGCAUGGUCAAAGUCCCUACAAGCAGGAUGAUGUAGAUAAUUUUUCAAAAUCCCAGUACUAAAAUUCCCCCCAAAACGACUAUCAUGUAUUAACUAAUUCCGAUUCUCACAAUUAUGGUACAACACAUAUAUAGGAGAGUGAGACGAACAAUGCUCCCAUUUGAAUCUAUUUCAUCCUAAAAUUAGUACACAUACUCCUCAGCAUUGAUUGAUUCCCAUUACUCAUAUAUACAUGAAAAGGUGGGAAUCACAUAGAAAUUGCAGAGAAGGGCGACCGAUCAAAACUGUAAUUGAUUAUGUGCAAAAACAUGAUAUAGAUAUCAAUGCUACCUCAUCCCAAUCUUUCAUUCCAAACAAGCUAGAGUUCAACAUAUGUAGAAUCAAGCUCCAUAUUGUUUGACUGAACACAUGCAACUAAAUCGCCAAUUCUCACAGGAGCACACCCUGCAGCAUACUGAAACAAAGCAUGAAAAUAUGAAGUGAGAACUUAGGUACAUGUCAAGAAUAGAGCAUUACAUGAAUCAGUGCAUGGUCAGGUCCUCACUUACUCUGGAGUGGCUGCCAGCAAAAGCACUAGAACGGAAUUGCGAUCUCUAUCUCCAAGAUCAUAGCUAUCCCCUGUCAAAAUUGCAAUAAAGCACAACAAAUGACCAACCAUCUCCAUCCAUUUCUCCACUCAUGUUCGCAAUAUAGCUUGAUAAAUCCUCAAUUAUCUGAUUGAUGCCUGCACAUGGCUCGUACGCAACUCAAAGUAUUGGAGAAUUAUUGUUCAGUCUCCAUGAGAAACUAUCAUUAUUACAAAGUGAUACUUUCUAGUAUUUUAAUAGGUAAGUUAACAAUGAAAUAAGUACCAUGACAGAUAUGGUGCAGAAAAGGCUAACUUGAUUCAUGAGCACUUAUUGCACAUCUGGGAAGAUGUUUCGCUUACAAAAUAUACCCAAAAUUUUCAACUAUGCACUAGAAGGAAGAAAAAAAUAAGGUGAGGGAAAACUAAACCUCACAAAAGACAUGAAUUAAAAUUGGGAAGAAGUGCUUAAGAUACUCGCAUUUAGUGCUUAUGAAUCGCAUGAGGAUCCCCUCAGCGCAGACGCUACAAUAAGCAAACACACAAGAACAAAAGUUUUUUUAAGUGCAAGGUAGUGAUCACUACCUUGUAUUAAAAAAGGUCGUGAAGGCCAACCAUGGUCCGGGCGCACACGAGAAUCAACAAGCAAAAGCUUGCAGAAACAAAAACGAAAUGAAGGGAAAAAACAACAAAAGAGAGUACAUGAGCGUAAAUAGUUUACGUGCCAGAAAAUAUAUGUGCCCAAGAUAGGAGAGAAAUCUUGUGUGAUUCCUUCAUUGCCAUGUUAGCCCAGAGCUUCAAAUCCUCGCUGAUGCAUUGUGAAAUCAAAUGUGGUGGCAAUUCUUUGUUAUUAAACACUUCAUUUCUGCAUUGCCGGAGAGUAACUGUACAGGUGAAGGAAAUAUGCCCUAGAGGCAAUAAUAAAGUUGUUACUUUAUAUUUCCUUAUAUCAUGAUAAAUGUUUAUUAUUCAUGCUAGAAUUUUAUUAACCGGAAACUUGAUACAUGUGUAGAUACAUAGAUAAAACACAUUGUCCCUAGUAAGCCUGUACUAGACUAGCUCGUUAAUCAAAGAUGGU